GUCUCUUCCAUUCCGAAGAGUGAAUCAAAGCGUUCGCCAUCUUCUUGUUGCUGGUCCUCGGAGGCUUGGAAUUUUGUGGUCUUUGGAUAAAAUAAUUGACUUGGCAAAAUUCGUCAGUUAAAAAUCUUGCCUGCUCAAUCGUAAGAAGCAAAUUCGUGAAGAUGAGUUAUGGUAGACCUCCGCCUCGUAUCGAUGGGAUGGUCUCUCUGAAAGUCGACAAUCUUACAUAUAGGACAACGCCGGAGGAUCUUAGACGCGUGUUCGAGCGUUGUGGUGAAGUCGGCGAUAUUUACAUCCCUCGCGAUCGCUUCACGCGCGAAAGUCGAGGCUUCGCGUUUGUCAGAUUCUAUGAUAAGCGUGAUGCAGAAGAUGCAUUAGAUGCCAUGGAUGGAAGGCUGUUGGAUGGCAGGGAACUCCGAGUUCAAAUGGCACGAUAUGGACGCCCAACAUCUCCUCAUCGAAGCCGCGGAAGUCGUCGUCGUGGACGAUCACGCAGUAGAAGUAGGGAUCGUAGGCGUUCUCGAUCUCGAUCCCGCAGUAGAUCGCGUAGCCGUGAUAGAGAUCGUAGGCGCUCUUAUACCCGCAGUCGUAGUCGCUCUCGUUCUGAUAGCAAAAGCUCGCGCGGAAAGUCACGCUCACGCAGCAAGUCCCAGGACAGGCAAAAGGAUAGCCGUUCCAAAUCUAGGGACUGAGCUUGUCAAAGAAUAUGCAAGAGGAUGACAUUGAGUGUGUGCGCAUCCAACGAGUGCCGAAUAAUCUAUGUUGAGAUUGCAAAAGGCGGUGGAAAGGAGUGGCGUGGCGCGGGUGUAGCCGAUGAUGGGGUAGCUGAGAGUAAGCAGUAAGCCGAGUAGCAGGGGGCUGUAAGCAGUUUGCAGUAGCGAGAAAGAGAGAGCGGUGUUGGUGCGGUGCGGUGCGGUGCGGUGCGUUGCGGUGUGAAGCGAUCCGAAGCGGUCUGUUCCGGUCCGGUGCGCUCCGAUAAUCGAGUGGUUCGUUCAAAGCGGGUUUGCGAAAAAUCAGGCCAAAAAUGAAGGGAAUACACACGCACACGCACGCACAUACAUGCAUACAUAUAUACAUACAUACAUACAUACAUACAUACAUACAUACAU